rnacentral:rRNA from 1 species
UACCUGCAGUCGACGGUGAACCCAGCUUGCUGGGUGGAUCAGUGGCGAACGGGUGAGUAACACGUGAGCAAUCUGCCCCUGACUCUGGGAUAAGCGCUGGAAACGGCGUCUAAUACUGGAUACGAACCGUGGAGGCAUCUUCAACGGUUGGAAAGAUUUUUUGGUCAGGGAUGAGCUCGCGGCCUAUCAGCUUGUUGGUGAGGUAAUGGCUCACCAAGGCGUCGACGGGUAGCCGGCCUGAGAGGGUGACCGGCCACACUGGGACUGAGACACGGCCCAGACUCCUACGGGAGGCAGCAGUGGGGAAUAUUGCACAAUGGGCGAAAGCCUGAUGCAGCAACGCCGCGUGAGGGAUGACGGCCUUCGGGUUGUAAACCUCUUUUAGCAGGGAAGAAGCGAAAGUGACGGUACCUGCAGAAAAAGCGCCGGCUAACUACGUGCCAGCAGCCGCGGUAAUACGUAGGGCGCAAGCGUUAUCCGGAAUUAUUGGGCGUAAAGAGCUCGUAGGCGGUUUGUCGCGUCUGCUGUGAAAUCCCGAGGCUCAACUUCGGGUCUGCAGUGGGUACGGGCAGACUAGAGUGCGGUAGGGGAGAUUGGAAUUCCUGGUGUAGCGGUGGAAUGCGCAGAUAUCAGGAGGAACACCGAUGGCGAAGGCAGAUCUCUGGGCCGUAACUGACGCUGAGGAGCGAAAGGGUGGGGAGCAAACAGGCUUAGAUACCCUGGUAGUCCACCCCGUAAACGUUGGGAACUAGUUGUGGGGUCCAUUCCACGGAUUCCGUGACGCAGCUAACGCAUUAAGUUCCCCGCCUGGGGAGUACGGCCGCAAGGCUAAAACUCAAAGGAAUUGACGGGGACCCGCACAAGCGGCGGAGCAUGCGGAUUAAUUCGAUGCAACGCGAAGAACCUUACCAAGGCUUGACAUAUACGAGAACGCUGCAGAAAUGUAGAACUCUUUGGACACUCGUAAACAGGUGGUGCAUGGUUGUCGUCAGCUCGUGUCGUGAGAUGUUGGGUUAAGUCCCGCAACGAGCGCAACCCUCGUUCUAUGUUGCCAGCACGUAAUGGUGGGAACUCAUGGGAUACUGCCGGGGUCAACUCGGAGGAAGGUGGGGAUGACGUCAAAUCAUCAUGCCCCUUAUGUCUUGGGCUUCACGCAUGCUACAAUGGCCGGUACAAAGGGCUGCAAUACCGUGAGGUGGAGCGAAUCCCAAAAAGCCGGUCCCAGUUCGGAUUGAGGUCUGCAACUCGACCUCAUGAAGUCGGAGUCGCUAGUAAUCGCAGAUCAGCAACGCUGCGGUGAAUACGUUCCCGGGUCUUGUACACACCGCCCGUCAAGUCAUGAAAGUCGGUAACACCUGAAGCCGGUGGCCCAACCCUGGGAGGAGCC